rnacentral:rRNA from 1 species
UAGGGAAUCUUCCGCAAUGGACGCAAGUCUGACGGAGCAACGCCGCGUGAGUGAUGAAGGUUUUCGGAUCGUAAAGCUCUGUUGCCCUAGACGAACAGCAAGGAGAGUAACUGCUCUUUGUGUGACGGUAUAGGAGAAGAAAGCCCCGGCUAACUACAUGCCAGCAGCCGCGGUAAUACGUAGGGGGCAAGCGUUGUCCGGAAUUAUUGGGCGUAAAGCGCGCGCAGGCGGUCAAUGAAGUUGGGUGUUUAAGCCCGGGGCUCAACCCCGGUUCGCAUCCAAAACUGGUUGACUUGAGUGUAGGAGAGGAAAGUGGAAUUCCACGUGUAGCGGUGAAAUGCGUAGAGAUGUGGAGGAACACCAGUGGCGAAGGCGACUUUCUGGCCUAUAACUGACGCUGAGGCGCGAAAGCGUGGGGAGCAAACAGGAUUAGAUACCCUGGUAGUCCACGCCGUAAACGAUGCAUACUAGGUGUCGGGGAUUCGAUUCCUCGGUGCCGUAA